AAGCCCUUUCCAGCCAUUAUAAACUAUUUUGCACCACUUUUAUAACUGCAGGUAUUGGUGCCGGGAGACUGUAAAAGCUUUUACUUACAGGAGAAAUUCACAACAUUUUGGGUUGCAUCAUCGGUGCCAUUAGCAGGGGAGAAUGCGAAUGACUUGAAUCUUGGCGCCAGUUGGGUUUCCAGAAGGCAACUAUUCCACAGUUGGGGUGUAAUGGCUGAUAAAGCCAUAUCCUGACAGUUUUUUUUGUUAUCUUAGUGGUGGUGUAUGGAGGACCCCACCCCAGCAAAUCUUAAUCUUUGGGUAAGCAUUUAUGGGGAGAAUAGCUCCCUCAAGUAUUGGGUACCUUACUGAAAUCGCAAUAUACUAUA
rnacentral:lncRNA from 11 species